CCUUGGAUUCUGUAUUGGGCAGCGGAGGAUUCGGAAAGGUAAGUAAAACAGUCGCUCAUUAACAGUAUGCCAUCUACGGCUUCAGUGUAUUUAGGCAAAGCUAACUCUCUCUCCUUAUCCAGGUGUAUCUGGUGAAACAUACAGCAACAAAGCGGAUGUUUGCCAUGAAGACACUGCCAAAAGAAGACAUUGGUAAAUUUGGAAGGUCCAACCUCAAAAUGGAGCUGCAAAUCCUCCAGAUGGUGACGGCAGAAAAACAACAUUUCCUGACAGGUUUAUCUGCCUAUUUCCCGUCGGAACACCAUAUGUGCCUAGUGAUGGACUAUGCAUCUCAAGGCAGUUUACUGUUACAUUUGAUCAUUGGUCCAUUUUCGCUGAAAGCAACAAUGUAAGUAGCAUUUAACUUGUCAUAUUCACAUUUAGAAUGUUCUGUAUGUAUAAAGCGACUAACACAUGUUUGUGUUUAUCUACACAGGUUCUAUACAGCAUGCAUCGUCCUUGGUUUGCAAUUUCUGCACAACAAGGAUAUUGCACAUAGAGAUUUGAAGCCGGGGAACGUGCUAUUGGAUGCCAGCGGCUAUGCGAAACUUGCAGAUUUUGGACUUUCUGACGAUCUAUCUGCGUACAAACAUGGACACCUGUCCCGCUCUUUCGCUCUGCGCUUGACCGAGGCCAGGGCUCAAGACUGGCGAGAUGUGGGCUUAAUGAUCUAUCAAAUGCUUGAGAAGGAUGUAAGUAAAACGUAUAUCAGUUAGAAUGAGUCCUAUAACCAUGUUUUACAAGACUUUGUCAUGGCAGAUUUUCUUAUACCAAUAUGCAGUAAUAGC